rnacentral:lncRNA from 1 species
UUCCUCUGCCUUCAUCAGAGAGGAGGAGCCCAUUCCCCUCCCUGCGUCCAGUCAGGGCCGGUGGCUAAGCUAAGAGCCCAGCUCCGAGCCCAGAGCGACCAGCUCAGCAUGGCGCUAACUCAGCUUCUGCCUCUCCUGGGUAAGUCACUUCCCUCGGUCCACAUGCCUCCCUCUGUCAGUCUGCCUGGUGAUCCUCUGACCCAUGUCCCUCCAUCCCUCUACUCUCUUCACCCUCUCCCCAGAGCUCUCACCCCCGCUCUUCUCUUCCCUUCCAGCCUCUCUCCAUAUGCUCCCCAGGCCGGUGUCCCCAGAAGGAGGGAGAGUGGGGGAUCUUCGGGUGCCCCAGGUGGAUUAAGGACCCUCCCAUGCUCAUCAUCCCCCACCCGCUCCCCCAGGAUGGACACAGAGGGGGUCCUGGUGCUCCCCAGGCACAUGAAGAACCCUUCCCACCCCAGAUCUGCUGCUCAUGCCCCUAAUCCCUGGUGAGAAAGAGAGAUUCUCUCCUUGGCUCCUGUCCUUUUCCCUGAAUUGCUCCUUGCAACAGUCUAGUCCCAUCCGCCCUGUCAUCUCCUCCGUGCACAGGAUGGUGGAGCAGCAGAUUUGGGGUCAGUGGGAGGAUAUGGGUGGAGUAGGCUGUGGGCUGGGAGGUGUUAAGUUUCACAGAUGGGGGGAGCUGGGAUUUGCCCAGCAGCACAAAGGCUGGGUCCAUCUUAUAGUGAGAGACUCCAGAAGCUGCAGGUGUUUACUGUAACAAAGAGAAGGUUAAGAGGGAGUUGAUCACAGUCUAGCAGUUCCCAAUGGGAACAGAAACCGGGCAAUCGACAGAAAAAGAUCUAACACGACCCAGUGUCUGGAAGCUGGAGCUAGACAAAUUCAGGCAGGAAAUAAGGCACAGAUUUUAACAGUGAGGGGAAUUCACUUCUGGGACAGUUCCCCAGGGGUCGUGGUGGAUUCUCCAGCGCUGGCAACUUCUGAAUCAAGCCUGAGGGCUUGGCUACACUUGAAAGUGAGAGCGCAUUAAAGCAGCCCUGGGUGCCCUAACUCCCGAUGUGUCCACACUGGCAAGGCACAUAGAGGGCCUGGACUCUGCAGCUGGAGAGCUCCUGGAAAUCCACCUCUACGAGAAGCAUAAAGCUUGCUGCGCCCCGACUGAAAUGCCCAUGCGUCAGUGUGAACGAGGUGUUGCAUUACUGCGCUGUGAUUGGCCUCCAGAAACGUCCCAUAAUCCCCUGAAGUCAAGUGGCCACUCUUCCCAUUGUUUUGAAAGCUCUGUUUCUGACAGCCCACAUGCUUAUCUGCUCCGGGACAAAGCACCCAUUAGUGUGGAAUGCUUCUGUUGUGAGUGUGUGUGAGGGGUGUGUGGAGGGAGUCUGCUGCUGUCUGAACUUACAAGACAGCAUGCUGACACACUCUCAGCCCCCCAAAACACACUGUCUCUCCCCCCACAUACACACAACAAACUUCCUGUCACAGUCCACCAACUCCC